AAGAUUUUUUAAUCUGACUUAUUUAUCCAGCAUGGGAAAACACCAAGGACUCUAAGCAUAUUUCCUAUGAAUACAUUUUUUAACCCUGAAUAUGUCAGGUACUUCUACUAUUGUUUCUCUCUUGGAAAAAAAAAAAAAAAAGACAGAAAAAAAAAAGACAGAAAAAAAAAAAAAAGCAGAUAUUUAAGUGUCACAACUUUAAAAAGCCAAAAUAAAGGAAAAGCAGUCAGAUGCUUUAAUGGCACAAAGUGCCAUUAAAUUAAUUUUUUAUGAGAACAGAAAUACUGAAAAAAAAUGAGACCUAAAAGUUGUGGCCUGUGUGGCAGAAAAUUAGCUCUUGGGAAUAGGAGAACAGAAUGGGGAGAGGAGGUAGAGUGGAUUUUUUUUUAUCUGCAUUUGCUGCAAAGAUUUCUGACAAGAGUAUCUGUUAACUGCCCGAUUUGCAUAAAUCUUCUUCAACUGAAGCUCAAGCAUACUGGUGGCAGCAAUUUCCUUGCAACAGUGGCUAAGAUCAUCUGUCAUGAAAUUUUCUGGAGUGAUUGAGGUAAAAAUAAAAACGUUCUGAUAUUUUCCCCUGGGAGAGUGCAAGUUGUUUCUUUGGCUUAAAUAGGCUUUAACUGCAUCCAACAGAGUGAUGCUUCAUAGUGUAUUAUUAGCAUGAUCAAAAAGAAUGUUAGUAUGAAGAGCAGAGCACUAUCCAGUGUUAAGCACCGCUUGUAUAUUUGUCAUCUAUUUUUUAGAAAUUCUGAAAUUUCAAAGUGGAAUCUUUUCAUAGCACUUUAUUCAGUACCUUCGCUUGUGUUUACUCCUGGAUUAUUUCAUUUUCCUAACUACAUAUUUGCAAUCACAGUGUGUAAGGUUCACAUAUUACAUUUGAAAGUCUUUUUCACAAGGACUAAAAGAACCAGCUACAUAAAUUCACAGAUGUUGAGGUAAAAAGGUGAGGGAUCUCCUGUAACCGAAGCAGUGGGACAACUAUUAGAGGAGGAUUUUGUUGUGAUUUCUAGGACUGCUAAAUUUAGUAGAUCUUAAAAAACUUCCAAACUACUAACAGGGUAACCAAAUGUUACUUCUUGACAGU
ensembl:lncRNA